UUUGCUGGAGCGGAUAGAAGUAAGCAUGCAGGCAUGAGUAGCGAUAAUUAAGGUGAGAAUCCUUAACGCCGAAAACCCAAGGUUUCCUACGCGAUGCUCGUCAUCGUAGGGUUAGUCGGGUCCCAAGUCGAGACUGAAAAGUCCCGUCGAGGCAAAUUGGUUAAUAUUCCAAUACCAACAUAUAAGCGCGAUGUGGGACGCUCAGUAUUUAUCCGACUCCAUGAGAUUGGGG
rnacentral:rRNA from 1 species